rnacentral:rRNA from 1 species
GUGGGGAAUAUUGGACAAUGGGCGAAAGCCUGAUCCAGCCAUGCCGCGUGUGUGAAGAAGGUCUUCGGAUUGUAAAGCACUUUAAGUUGGGAGGAAGGGCAGUAAGUUAAUACCUUGCUGUUUUGACGUUACCGACAGAAUAAGCACCGGCUAACUUCGUGCCAGCAGCCGCGGUAAUACGAAGGGUGCAAGCGUUAAUCGGAAUUACUGGGCGUAAAGCGCGCGUAGGUGGUUCAGCAAGUUGGAGGUGAAAUCCCCGGGCUCAACCUGGGAACUGCCUCCAAAACUACGGGGCUAGAGUACGGUAGAGGGUAGUGGAAUUUCCUGUGUAGCGGUGAAAUGCGUAGAUAUAGGAAGGAACACCAGUGGCGAAGGCGACUACCUGGACUGAUACUGACACUGAGGUGCGAAAGCGUGGGGAGCAAACAGGAGUAGAAACCCCUGUAGUCC